CCCAACCAAAACCGAACCGAACCGGAAAAACAAACAAAGGAAGCCACUCCACCCCACCACUUCGCCUUGCGUGCCCCACCUACCCUGAUCCACCUCCUUCUUCUUCCCAACCACCACGACCAACUCCACCUCCUAUGGUGCGGCCCUCGGCCACCGGCCACCUACCGGACCUGCGCCGCCUCCUCGUGCGCCCCCUGCACCUCCCCCUCCCCGCACCACCUUCUACGCCCUCCCUCCUCCUAUUACGCACCAGAUCGGCCCCGUCGACGUUCUCCCGCAGUUUCCCCACGUCGGAUCCGCGCGUCGCCCUCUCCGUCCCCGUCCUCCUGCCGGCGACUCUCCCCUUCCCAUCCUCCUCCCAGCGAGUCUCCCCUCCCCGUCCUCCUGCCGACGAGUCUCCCUUCUCGUUCCUCCACCACCUCCCUUCCAUCCCUGGCCACUGCAGCGUGCUGCCGCACCCUCCCUACCGCAACAACUUCGGCCCCAACCCGGCCACCACUGUAUCCACCCCGCCCCUCCGCCUUCGACCAUGGCCGCCCGUCCGCCGAGGGCCGUCUUCCCGCCGCAUCCACUGGCCUUGACCGUCCUCUCCUCCCCUUUGAUUUUUUUCUUUUCAGAUUUGGGAACAACACUGCAGUUCUCUUGGGGCGUCAGUGCGGUGCGACUGGAUUUUCAGUCCAACGCUCUCCUGUGCGUCCACUGCGAUCCGGUGGCCGUGGACAUGAAGUUCAUCAACCAGUUGUUUCUCUUUCCAUUUUUUUAGUUUCAUUCACCUGAUGCAGAUGAGAAACCGCCUGCUCCCCACUUCCUCCCCUUCCUUCCUAUUUUUGUGCUUGUAGUUUGGCGACCGUGACAGUGUAGCUCGGAGGUUCCCGUGGUGCAGUUUAGUCCUCAAGCGCUUGCAGCCUUGGGCAUUUUUGCGUGCGGUUGCAGUUCGUCGGCGACAGACGUGCAACCUCCAGCCGGAUGCGGGAUCAUGUGCGCCCCCAACCUCCUAUGCAGUGAACCUGUGCUCCGUCGGGAGCUCUUGGAAAUUUACCAUACUUUAUUUUGUUUCUAAAAUCGUGUUUUUUUGUUUGCUUGUUGAACAUGAACAGAAGUUCAUUAUGUACCCUUGUUUGUAAAAAAGUGUCAAGAAAAAGUAUGAAGUUCACUACUUCAA